rnacentral:tRNA from 3 species
UGGGGUAUAGCCAAGUGGCAAGGCACCGGUUUUUGAUACCGGCAUCCCUGGUUCGAAUCCAGGUACCCCAGCCA